rnacentral:misc_RNA from 1 species
CGCGGGCGACGCAACAAGGCCGAGCCGCAGAUUCUCACGCACAGUCAGUCCCUGCACGAUGCGGCGCUCCUCUGGAACAUAUGCCAAACCGAGACCGAAGCGGACGUGAGCCGGCUGGUCCAGCACUUCUUUGUCCUUGAACACCACCGAUCCGCGGGUCUUGUCGAGUAAACCAAUGAUCGAUUUUAGUGUCGUGGUCUUGCCAGCGCCAUUG